rnacentral:rRNA from 1 species
CCUACGGGUGGCAGCAGUGGGGAAUAUUGGGCAAUGGGCGCAAGCCUGACCCAGCAACGCCGCGUGAAUGAAGAAGGUCUUCGGGUUGUAAACCUCUUUUGUCAGGGAAGAGCAGAAGACGGUACCUGAAGAACAAGCCCCGGCUAACUACGUGCCAGCAGCCGCGGUAAUACGUAGGUGGCAAGCGUUGUCCGGAUUUACUGGGGGUAGAGGGCGUGUAGCCGGGUUGAAAAGUCAGAGGUGAAAUCCUGCGGCUUAACCGCGGAACUGCCUUUGAAACUGUUGAGCUGGAGUGCGGGAGAGGCUGAUGGAAUUCCUAGUGUAGCGGUGAAAUGCGUAGAUAUUAGGAGGAACACCAGAGGCGAAGGCGAUCAGCUGGACAGCAACUGACGGUGAGGAGCGAAAGCGUGGGGAGCAAACAGGAUUAGAUACCCCUGUAGUC